rnacentral:tRNA from 1 species
CACUAAAAAGCUAAAAUAGGUCAAAGCGUUAGCCUUUUAAGCUAAAGAUUGGUGGCUCCUAAUCACCUUUAGUGA